rnacentral:tRNA from 1 species
GUCCCGGUGGCCGAGUGGUUAAGGCGAUGCCCUGCUAUUAAUCUAUGAUAGCAAUUAGGCAUUGGGCUAUGCCUUCGCAGGUUCGAAUCCUGUCCGUGACG